rnacentral:rRNA from 1 species
AUGGAUGCUCAGGUCGGCCUGGACCUAGACGGCUUCCCACUCGACCACGAGUUUCCGAAGGACUACGGGCUCGAGGAAGAGGACGAGUUGGACAUCAAGGACGAGCUCGCCAACCAAGCCGCCGGGUCGAAGCCGAAGCUCAAGAGAAGGAAGACGAAGGCAUACAUGGCGGCCGAGGACAAGCUCCUUUGUGAGUGUUUGAGGGACAUUGGGCAAGACCCCAAGACUGGCGCCGAACAAAAGACAUCAACCUUUUGGACUCGUGUCCAUCGUGAGUUCCAUGAGCGUAAGAAGUUUCCACCGUACCAAAUGCAAAGCACGCGCGGGUGGGUGUCCAUUUCGAAGCGAUGGAAGGUGAUCCAACAAGAGUGCAACAAGUUUUGUGCCACUCUUGAGAGCAUCAAGGCAUGCCCCGUGAGCGGCAUCGGCAUGCAAGGCAUGGUAUGCUUUCAAGCGCCCCUCUUUGUGUCAUUCCAUUUAUGUUUGCAUGUCCAUUUUCAUAUAUAUUUCCCAAUAUGCUUGCAUGCAAUUCAUUUGUAG